rnacentral:rRNA from 1 species
UAGUCCACGCCGUAAACGAUGUCAACUAGCCGUUGUCUCCAUUUAAGGGGUCAGUGGCGCAGCUAACGCGAUAAGUUGACCGCCUGGGGAGUACGCCGGCAACGGUAAAACUCAAAGGAAUUGACGGGGCCCGCACAAGCAGUGGAGCAUGUGGUUUAAUUCGAAGCAACGCGCAGAACCUUACCAGGGCUAGAAAAACUGAGAAUCCUGACGAAACUCGGGAGUGCUCGCAAGAGAACUCAGGUCCAGGUGCUGCAUGGCUGUCGUCAGCUCGUGUCGUGAGAUGUUGGGUUAAGUCCCGCAACGAGCGCAACCCUUAUCCUUAGUUGCCAUCAUUUAGUUGGGCUCUCUAAGGAGACUGCCGGGGUCAACCCGGAGGAAGGUGGGGAUGACGUCAAGGUCCUCAUGGGCCCUUAUGUCCUGGGGCUACACACGUGCUACAAUGGUUGAUACAAAGCGCUGCGAAGCCGCGAGGGUGGGAGCGAAUCGCAAAAAGUCAGCCUC